UUCUCCCACGAUGAAUUUCUUUCAAAUCCUUUCUCUCAUCCACCUCAAAAUCCAUCUCUCUCUUGCUCCCUCACAAAAUCCGACGAGCUCCGGCCGGCCGUUCUCCUCUUUCCUCUUGGAUCCCCAUCCCCCUCCGGCGACGAGCUCCACACACGCCGCAGCCGCUGCAUCCCCAUCGGCUUUCUCCCCUGGCAGUACAUACGGCUGCAGCUCGCACUGCUGCAAGGGGGCGGGGCCGAGAAGGAGCGGAGUCGCUGUUGUGAGGUUGCUGCUGCUAGCCAUCAACGCCAUGGCCGCCGCCUCCCCCUCAUAUGGUCGUGGUCGUGGCGCUGGAGCAGGCGGUGGAAACGAUGGCCUCCGGUGCUACAACCGGUGAGUCUUUUUGCUGGAACCGGCCGACAAAAAAGCUUCAACCACACUGACCAGUGCUGGAACCAGGCAAUCGUCGAGUAGUUUUUGCUGCCACCUCCUUUCUUUGCUACAAAUGGCAUGAUUUUUUGCUGGAUCCGUCGAGAAAUUUUGUUGCGACCAUCGGCGGCGAUGCAUGUUUUUGCUACAACCAGCACGACGAUGCGCUGGUGUUUUUUGCUUUGAGAUUGUUUUGCUGGAACCAGUGUUUUCUUUUGCUGGAACUGGCUAAUGUGUUUGAUACAAUCGAUCAUCGGAGUUUUUUGCUGCUGGGAUUUUUGCUGGAACCACUAUUAAGUUUUGCUGGAAGUGGCAAAUAUUUUUGUUUCAACGGAGUACCGAAGUUUUUUGUUACUUUAGAUUUUUUUUGCUGGAGAUGACGGUGCAAGUCGACGACGGCAGCGAGCCGGAGACGAGGACGUCGGGAUGCUGCAACCAUGGUGAUGGCGCUCUGGACCCUUCUUGUUCGAGCUGCAACCAUGGUGAGUGGAGGCAGCCAAGGCGAGCACAGUGGCAUGGGUCGCCGGCGAGCGCGGAUGGCCGGCGUGGUGGCACAAGUCACCGGCAAGCUCGGGUAGCCGAGGACAAGCGAGGCGGCCGGCGAGCUUGCACGGAGUGGGGCAUGCGCGCACGCUCACUUUUUCCUGAUCUGCUUUUUCCUAUGUGUGUUGACUUUAUGGGGACGAAGUUAAUUUUAAUCUGACGGUUGAAAAAUACUCUAUCGAACGUACACGCAGCGACCGGCCCAAAAGUUGGCCGGUCCGCCGGCGCCUAUCAGCGCCCUUAUAUUUGUUCACAGAGGGAGUACAGCAUAUACUCACCAGAAACGCUAAAAGCUGAGAGGGCAGAGAUAGGUGCAGUUUUACUGUUUAGCGUUGGAGGACAGGAAUUAGGUGCAUUUUCAUCAAUGUCCUAAAAUGUUGUUGUUUCUAUGGAAACCAAAAUUAAGAUACACUCCUACGAUUGACUAGUACUGAAUUUUUUUUCUUCGUAUAUUACCUCAUUACCUUCAAGAUUUAAGCACAUUAUAAUCUCUUUCCUUGUUUCUAGAAGCAAGAAGUCAUACCCAAGCCUCUAUUGCAGGCAAGGUUUUUGCCCCAACAUUCACCCACUUGUGUGAAAGUGACC
rnacentral:rRNA from 1 species